UGGGGGAUAACGUUCGGAAACGGACGCUAAUACCGCAUACGUCCUACGGGAGAAAGCAGGGGACCUUCGGGCCUUGCGCUAUCAGAUGAGCCUAGGUCGGAUUAGCUAGUUGGUGAGGUAAUGGCUCACCAAGGCGACGAUCCGUAACUGGUCUGAGAGGAUGAUCAGUCACACUGGAACUGAGACACGGUCCAGACUCCUACGGGAGGCAGCAGUGGGGAAUAUUGGACAAUGGGCGAAAGCCUGAUCCAGCCAUGCCGCGUGUGUGAAGAAGGUCUUCGGAUUGUAAAGCACUUUAAGUUGGGAGGAAGGGCAGUAAAUUAAUACUUUGCUGUUUUGACGUUACCGACAGAAUAAGCACCGGCUAACUCUGUGCCAGCAGCCGCGGUAAUACAGAGGGUGCAAGCGUUAAUCGGAAUUACUGGGCGUAAAGCGCGCGUAGGUGGUUUGUUAAGUUGGAUGUGAAAUCCCCGGGCUCAACCUGGGAACUGCAUUCAAAACUGACUGACUAGAGUAUGGUAGAGGGUGGUGGAAUUUCCUGUGUAGCGGUGAAAUGCGUA
rnacentral:rRNA from 8 species